AGUUCUAUUGUGGGAUUGAUCAUCGAUAGAGCCGGUGCGGUUGCUCAAGUUGCUGAUGAGGCGCAUGCCUUAGAGCCACGUGCUGGACGACUUCCUCCGACCGUUUCUAACCGGAAACGGAGGGCUGGUUCAGGAUCAGAUAGUUCAGGAUACAGAAACCACCACUCGUGCAUCUACGGAGCCAUCAGUACACACUGAUGGAGGUUUCCUCGGAGGACCUUCUAACAGGUCCGUGUUGACGGGAUACGCUGACCAUGUCGUUUAUAGGAUAAGGCAGAGCGAGGAGCGUCUAGUUUGAAGGUCGCUUCUCACAGGACGAAGUUGAAGAGCUUCUUCGAGAGUCUGAUGCCUGAACAGGUGAGGAGGAUAGUUGAGGAUUUCCAUCUGAUGGACUUUCCUGGAUUCUCCUUGACGAUGUUGGACACCUCCAUGUUAUCAGAUUUUGUUGAGAGGUGGCACCCGGAGAUAUCAUCCUUCAAUCUUCCAUUUGAGGAGAUGACGAGGAUGCCCUCUUUCACAUUCUGAUUGCUGGUACAUAUUUUACACCAGUUUAUAAGGACCAGGCGACGACGGUGCACUUGGGUAUAGAUUCUUUGGAGGUUGAUGAGGUGGAUGUGCUACUUGAGUUUGGUGAGCUCGGGGCUUCAUCUUAGGAUGUCUUCGUUGAGGACUACUUAUCAGGUGCUUGUGGAUGCAAAGAGUGGUGGAUCUACGAGCACUUCCGUCACAUCUUUGAGCGGAAGAUCCAGCGUGUUAUGGCAACUGACCCAUGUGCGAAGAGGUGGAAGGCCAAACAGGCCAUUCCAGGAGGGUUGAUAGAGUACAGGCGGAGGUUGGAUGCUCUGACCUUGGAUGAUGUCAUUUGAACAUCAUAUACAACCCCCAUCGUCCUUUCGAUGUAUCUACUUUUAUAUUCAGGGUAUGUCAGAUGGGAGAGCCAUAUGGCUAGACACUUGCCUGAGAGGUGUCUACGCUAGUAUGGUUAUAUACAUGGCAUCCCACUUCCGGUCUCAGAGGCUCCAACUGGUGACAUUGAUUGAUGGUUUCAGAGUCACAUCAUCAGUUCCCCCUGUGAAAUCAUUGAUACAGACGUUGAGGUUCAGGAGCCUGGGCAGUGCGAGGAUGGAUACUUUGAGUAGUUCCAAAGUGUGUCACACCCUAGGGUCAAACCACCUGCCACAUCAUCUGAUGUUCUAGGGCCUUCAAGUAUCAGGAAUUCUUUUGAUCCACCAACACCACCUCCACCCCCCGUAGGUGACCAGAACAGCCGCCUACAGUUCAUCGCCGUUCACUUAGAUAGCCUCAUGGAUUUGGUAAACCCUGAUGGUGAGGUUCAUACUAUUUUAGCUAGGUUGGCAGAUAUUUCCCGUGGAGGGCCU